CCUACGGGAGGCAGCAGUGGGGAAUAUUGCACAAUGGGGGAAACCCUGAUGCAGCGACGCCGCGUGAGUGAAGAAGGAUUUCGGAAUGUAAAGCCCUAUUGGUAGGGAAGAAAAUGACGGUAUCUAACGAAUAAGCCCCGGCUAACUACGUGCCAGCAGCCGCGGUAAUACGGAGGGGGCAAGCGUUACUCGGAUUCACUGGGCGUAAAGGGAGCGUAGGCGGGAUAGCAAGUCUGAUGUGAAAGCCCAGGGCGCAACCAGAGAACUGCUUUGGAAACUGUGUUUCUGGAGUAUGGGAGAGGCAGGUGGAAUUCUUGGUGUAGCGGUAAAAUCCGUAGAUAUCAAGAGGAAUACUGACGGCGAAGGCGACCUGCUAGA
rnacentral:rRNA from 1 species